rnacentral:rRNA from 1 species
CAGUCGUACUUAUGGGUAAUCAGCCUUUUGGGUGUGAUUUUGUGGAGCGUGAAGAGUUAAACGCCUUCAUGCCUGCAUAUUCGUGCACUUUGGGUGUACUUGCCCGUGUGUAAGUUAACAUCAAUUUUGGUGGUCAUAAAAUGACUGGAGGAAUGUAGCUUCGAUCUCGUAUUGAAGUGUUAUAGCCUUUGGUAGAUGUGAUGUUUGAGACCGAGGAUUGCAACGGAUACCCUUCAGGGCUAUUCGUCUGAUCUCUGAUACGUUGCCCUGAUGUUGAAAGCUUGCUUAUGAUGUUAGGGUAUUACGGUCAAAAGGUUAGAACGAAUUACA